rnacentral:rRNA from 1 species
GACGAACGCUGGCGGCGUGCCUAACACAUGCAAGUCGAACGGGGUAGAGAGCUUCGGUUUUCUACUUAGUGGCGAACGGGUGAGUAACGCGUGAGAAACCUGCCUUUCAGUGGGGGACAACAGUUGGAAACGACUGCUAAUACCGCAUAAUGUUAUUUGGGGGCAUCCCUGAAUAACCAAAGCUUUAUGUGCUGAAAGAUGGUCUCGCGUCUGAUUAGCUAGAUGGCGGGUAACGGCCCACCAUGGCGACGAUCAGUAGCCGGUCUGAGAGGAUGAACGGCCACAUUGGGACUGAGAUACGGCCCAGACUCCUACGGGAGGCAGCAGUGGGGAAUAUUGGGCAAUGGGGGAAACCCUGACCCAGCAACGCCGCGUGAAGGAAGAAGGGCCUUCGGGUUGGUAAACUUCUUUUAGCAGGACGAAGAACGUGACGGUACCUG